GACCCUGGGAUCAUGACCUGAGCUGAAAUCAAGAGUCAGAUGCUUAAGUGACCGAGCCACCCAGAUGGCCCAGAGUUUCCUUGCUUUUUAAGACUAAAUAAUCUUCUGGCAUAUGGAGGUACCACAUUUUGUUGGUCUGUUCAUCCAUUGGUGAAUACUUGAGUUGUCUCUACCUUUUAGCUCUUUUUUAAACAAUGUUCUAUGAGCACGGGUAUGCAAAUAGCUGUUUGAGUCCCUGCUUCCACUUAUUUGGGGUGUGUACUUAGAAGCAGACUUGCUGGACAUACGGUGAUCCUGUUAGAUAUUUUUGAGGAACCACCAUACCGUCUUUCAUGGCGGCUGUGCAAUUUUCCGUUCCCAAGAACAGUCCACAGGGCUUCCAAUUUCUCCACACCCUCACCAACACUUUAUUUUCUAUUUUUGGUGUGUGUGUGUGUGUGUGUGUUUUUGGUUGUUGCUGUUGCUAUAGCCAUCCCAAAGGGUGGUUGGUGAUAAUGGUGAGUGACGUUGAGCAUCUUUGUAUGUGUUUGCCGUCCAUAUGACUAUCUUCUCGGGAGAAACAUCGGUUCAAGUCCUUUGCAUGCUUUCUAAUGGGUUUUGUUUUGUUGUUGUUGUUGGGUUGUAACUCGUGCUCUAUUUUAACAUCAGAUGAGCUGCUCAACCAUCGUCCAUCGGAAAAUAAAUUAUGUGAGUGUGUGUAUCAAUGGGUAGAGUGCGGGCAUUUAUGAAGCAUUUCUUUCGUUUAAUCUUUGCCAUAACUGCAGGAAGUAAGUGAUGUGACCCUCAUGUGUGAGGAAACCGAGGGUCAGAGGGCUUAGGCAACUUGCCCAAGAUCACUCAGUUGGCACAGGAUAUACAGAGCAGGGCUUAGGACUUAUCUCAGCACUCACCAGGGUCUGUCUCCAAAGCCAAGUAGCUGCGUCCCCCACGCAGCCUUCCCACAGAAGGCAAGCCUCCUAAACCAGAGCACAGCCACAGAGAAGACCAACCCAUUACUGUUAUCCAUACCAAAGAGACACCCCCAGGUGAGUGAUGUCACCAGAAGGUUCAGAGCAAGGCCCACCAUUAAUCUCAUGGUUACAAACAGCAUAGGAAGAUUAUGCUGGCCUCCAGCCCGGUUAAGUGGACAUUUGGAUUUUCUCCAAAACAAACGUGGAUACUGUAAAUACAGGUCAGCUGGUUUGCAGGAAUUCGGCGUCCAGAUGAAGCGGCAUCUAGAGAGGUUUUUCCAAAAGUCCUACUGCAAAGAGCCUGGGGGGGGGGGGGGCGGAUCUCUUGGAGCAUGUCUCCUGCUUAGAAAGUGUUCUUUUCAUUCAUUCAAAGCUUCCUUGCCGAGGGGCUUCUGAGCACCCAGCUGUAUGCUGGGCGUGGGCUCAUGCGUGAGAUGCUAGAGGUAAAGAGAAGCAGUGAAUCGUGAUUGUGGCGACCAUCAUCGGUUCUCCAGAACAGUCUGCUUUCAAACGGGAGACUGAGGCCCACAGAGGUGAGACACUUGCCCGUGGUCACACAGUAAGUAUGCAAGUGGUAAAGCUGGGAAGCUACCCAAAGUCUCUAUUAAGUCACUUAACUGUCUUUCUUUUUUUAAUGUUUAUUUAUUUUUGAGAGAAAAAGUGUGCAAAUGGGGGCGGAGCAGAGAGAAAGGAAGCCACGGAAUCUGAAGCAGGCUCCAGGCUCUGAGCUGUCAGCACAGAGCCCCACGCAAGCCUAGAACUCAUGGCCCGUGACAUCAUGACCUGAGCCGAAGUCGGACACGUAACCGAACGGGCUACCGGGCGCCCCACUUGACUUCCUCAAACAGCAAUAUUUUUGGUGUUUAUGCUACUGCAUUUUCUAGAUCACUUCCUAUUCUCAGAAUGGGUGUGACGAUCCUGUGGCAGAAUUGACGCCAUAAUUCUGGUUUCAAAACAAUAAGGUAAUGUAGAUAGGUUUCUAUUUCUUCCCUCUGGGAACCUGUGGCGGAGGUUAAGCCUUAUCCCCAGGAAAAGUUAGAGAACAGGAGAAGGAGGAAAAGGGAAUGCUCAUGGCACUCUUUGAUUAAGUGCCUCGUGAGUGGGACGGACAGUGAGUUCUUUUAAUCUACUCCCACCCAGGGUGUAUGAGCAGGGAGUGUCUUCCUUUAUUAACACAGAAAGUAAUGGGCUGAGAGUUCACUCAGGCACUUUGGAGGGGCCAGAUUAAGCAGUCCUGGUGUGGUUCCCCCGGGGUGGGGUGGGUGCAAAGGGUUUUGCCACUCUAGGCUGGCCCUAGGAGUACUUUUCUCCCAACGAAGCUCUGGCCAGGGAUGGACUCCACGUCUCCUUGCUGGUGUCCCUUAGCAGGGUUGAGAUAGGAUCCACUCGCCUGAACAUCAAGGGAAGACGACAGGGCGGUAAGCACAGAAGGAACGAGAGUGUGAACUCAGCCCAGGGACUCUGUCCCGCCAUUGCUGGCUCCCCCUCAAGUCUCUGUCCAAAGCUCAGCUAGAAGAGCCGGCUGCCGGCAGCCCCAAGGACUCCUCAACGGGGCUUUGAUUCUCCGCUCGGUGGGGGUGCCAUUUUGUCACUCUGUGCAGGUGCGGCGGAUCGUCUGCCUCCUGCAGUUUCCCUUGCAGGAAAUCAGGACCUUCUUCUGACUUCCUUCCGCCUCCCGGUUCUUGAUCCAGAGGGUGGAGGUUGGAGAAACGGCCUGGAAACAGCAGAGGAGGCCAGCAGCUCUGCAGGGCGAGGCCCGACAUCUCGCCGCAUUAACCCCGCGAACUCAGGCCAGGCGACGAGGCUGAGCCAUUAAUGCCUAAUGAUGUCGCCUUGUCUUCCAAUAACAAACCAUCUCACCGGUCGGUUUUAUAGGGGACCAGCUGUUGUUAAUUGGGGAAGACGAGCAUGAAAUGGCCGCUUUCACACCUGACCGAGAGAGAGCAACAGCAUCAAGGGGCAAAUGGAACCCGCCUGCUGCAGGCAGGGGGUUCCUCAGCUCUGCCUGGGCCAAGGAGAGGCCCAGAGACAGCAGUGGGCUGCCAUCCCUGUGGCAUCCUCAGCGGGCACAACACUUACUAAUAAAAGAGGGUGGGGUUCGUCGAACAUUCGGCCCCUCCUCCCGCAGCCCAAGAGCGUCUCCUCUUGCUUUUGCGUGCGUCUCUAGCCAGCUGGGGGGUAGCCCAAAGCCAGGGCCCCAUGUUGCACAGCCAGAGCCUCGCCCAGCAUCUGGCAUGUUCCAGCUCUGUAGAGGAGGCACGGCUGGGUUCUCGAGCACUGAUCCUGGCCUCUGCUCCCUGGCCACAGGUGACCGGACCGGGGAUCCGGGGCACCAGCAAGACGUGGCUCCAGGGCCUGGCUGUGCACACACAGAGCUGGCUCGAAUGCAUUCUCUCCUUUGCCAUUGCAUCAAAGAGACACAGACGGAGGUGGCCACUCAGCAGCGGGUCCGAAGCAAAAAGUACCGGGGGAUGUGUCGUGAUGGAGAGGGUCAGGCUACCCCUUUGGCCCAGGAGCAAGCCGGCAUGAAGAGGCAAGUGAGUCACGGGACGGGAGACUGGUGCAGGAGGAGCGUGGAGCCCCCACCACGUGCACUUUAACCUCCUAGUCGCUGCGCAUCUCCCGAGACCUGCGCUUGGAAGGUGUUAUAUCAUCCCCGUUUCGCAGAUGGGGAGACUGGAUCUCCAUGAUGUCAAGCAACCUGAUCAUCUUUAUGGCAUGGCAGAGCAGGGACUGGAACCAAAUCUGGGAUCUCCCUCUGGUGCUCCUUUAAUGGCCCCGCGCGGUUGCUGUCGGCAUUUGCGGGCCCCUGCGGGUCCUUCCGCGGGCUGGCCGAGGUAGAAAGCUCUGCUCUGGGAGCUCAGGCAGGCUGCCUCGACUCCUGUAGACUGAGAAAAGCACAGGACCCUCUCUCUGCCUACAUUUGCCUUUAUUUUCAGUGUUGCUGCAAAAGAUGGGAAAGCAGAGCAUUAAAACAUGUACUGUAAAUAAACCAAAUUAAAGUAAAAUUGACUCAUUUAGCAACCAGCCUCCGAUCUUGCAUUAGAGGCAAUUGAAGAGAUUUCACAGAUUUUAGUAACCAGAUAAGAUUAUUAUAUAAACAGACUUCUGCAUUGAAUGAUGAGCCAUAUCUUGAGGAGAAUAUUUGAAAUCAAUAGUAAUACAGACUGAGAAUUAAGUAAUGUGGCUAAGCACCUUUGAAUGAUGCCAUUUUUAAGAGCUGAUUAGAAAUAAAUAUGCCAAUUGCAGCAAGAGCCGAGAGCUGGAAUAAAGUGAUGAUUAAUCAGUUUGGGCCCAAGACCCACGGAAGCCAUCUUGGUAUUGCCAGCCCGGGGCUCACUGGACAGGGCCUGGAAAGCUCGGGGGCCUGAUGGUGGCCCAUCAGAGUCCUUAUGCAGAGACACGGCCCUGCCCACCAAGGGGCUGGCCACGGCGGCGUGGGGAGGAGGUGCCCAAGCCCGGAGGAUUAACGAUAAGCCGCUUGAACUGCUCACGCAGGGCCAGCCAGAGCGCAGGGAGGAGAUUACAGCUGGGGACACUGACAACCUGGGGAUUGCGUUUGGAAUGCCCAAUUACCAUUCAACUGGGAAAUGAUUGGUCUUUUGGCUGCCCUGUAAUCAUCUCUCACCUGGACAAUUGCACCGGCUUCCCGACGGGUCCCCACGUGAGCUGGCGGAUGCGUUCCAUACCCGGUCACCAUAGUGAUUUUUCCAAAGCACUGCUCAGAUCCUGUCACUCACUUUGAAAAACGCCGCUGCUUUCCUCUUGCCGUUGGGCCAGGUCCAGGUAUCUUCGCUUAGAAUUCAAGGCCCCUCAUGGCCCAGCUGUCCCUACUUGUCUCAUUUCUUCCUAGUCCCCAUUCCUGCCUUACGAUGGUUCCGGAUGGAAGGCUCUAGGAGUGCCAGGUACACCCUGUUCCUUGUGGUAGCAUCUCUGCUUCUGCUGGGCCCUCCCCGCCUGCCCUGUCUGCUGAAACCCACCUUUCCCCACCUAAUUCAAAGUCCACCUUGACUGUUCCCUCCUCCAACCCACGCAGAACCAGCUGCUGUCUCUCGGUUCUUACCCUCCCUGAACAAGCCUUUUCCUGUUUCACAUCCAUGUCGUUCACUAUUUCUUUUGCAUCCAGGGAGACUUACGAGCACCUCUGCAGUGCUAUGCACUGUGGUUGUCCCUGAAGACACGGUGAGAGAACCCAGAAGUGGCCCCUGCCCUCCUGGAGCUCAGGUUCACACCAAGCGUUUAACACUCUAUGCAGCUGUCCCUGCUCUAGUAGGCAAGACAUGCUUCUUUCAUUCAGCUGGCACAAGGCAGGUGCCCAAUGGCGGCUGAAUGAGCGAAUGAGGGACCAAACAAAGGACAGAGUGACAGAGAUGGAUCAGGGAGGGGAGGUUGCAAGGAAGCAAAUUUUUGCUUGGCAGAAGAAACAGGGUUCUGUUGGCUGCCCAGCACUGCCUAAGCUGCCUUCCGCAAGGCUGAGCUCCCAGGAACUAGAGGCAUCCAUGCAGAGGGAGACCAUCUGUCAAGGAGGUUCCAGGAAAGACUCAGAAUUGGCAGUGAGACAAAAGUUGCAGUGCUGUGGGCUCUAGGCCCAGCCCCACCACCGGCUCACUAUUUGACCCGAGGUAGAGCCCACCCUCUCUUUGGGCCUCAGUUGCUCCAUCUGUAAAAUGAAGACUUUGGACUACAGGUGGUCAGUCAUGAGCCCUUGGCUACCACGAAGAAAGCAGAGGAUACUUCUUGAAUGUUGGUGAAAUCCAACCAACAUCAAUGCUGGACUAUGAAUAGUGUUAGGGUGAGGAUAUAUCCUGUGUUGGCUGCAGAGAAAAAUAUAACAGGCGUGGGAUGAUGGGGGAAAAAUUACAUACAAGGUUUUGUAACAAGAGUAUGGUAAGUGUGAGAGACCAUCCCGUGAGCCGUAAGUGUAGGCUGGGAAGGCUUCCUGGAGGAGGUACAACCUUGACCUAAAGGGUGAGUAGGACUUAAACCUUUGAGGAAGGGAGUGAAUUCUGAUCCAUGUGAGAGGAGACCUGAAUCACCAGGGCCACGUGCCAAAGACCUCCCCAUGGAUGCAUUCCCAUGCCACGCCUUCAUCCCUAACCAGGAACGUGGCCAGGGACAGGCCGUAUACAGAAGGCUGAACUUCUUGCUCAAAGGGGGCAGAUGUGGGUUUCUCUUUUCUGUGUUUUGAUCCUUGUUUCUGCCUUCAGUAGGCCUGCAUCCUCUGGCCCACGAGGCCCUGAAUGUUGGGGUGCAGGGGGCUGAAGCUGAGAUCCCCCAGAAGGACCCGGCUCUGGUCCGCAUGGCUCUGCAGGCUGCCCAGGAUACAGGGGCCCUGAAUUAAGGAAGCUCUCUAGAAGAGGGCUGCCAUACUUGGGUUAGCCAAGAACGGGCAGAGAACCCCAUUCCCUAGGUCAUCUGCCGGGAUCUGGGCUUUUCAGGGGGAGCUUGGGGCGAGGGGGGGGGAACGGCUGCUUUGCCUGAGCCGCUCGUCUGUGUGAGGCCAUCUGUGUGCCGGCCUGCUCCUUGCUCUUCUGCCUGGCCAUCCAUCUCCAGCGUUCACAGCUCUGUGAGCUCAGGGCUCUGCUGGGACUCUGGGUGAUGGGACCCAUGCGGGGGCAGCUGCUGAGCUGCUGGUGUGGUCAGAAGAGGAGACGAGGGGCCGUGGUGUAGGGUUCUCUGUCCCCCCCCCCCCAGUAACUCACCUCCCCCUCCACUUCCUUCCUUUUUGGGACAACACCCGAGGCCACCAGAAGCUCUCCUAUAGAUCACUACAAGCAUGUAAUAGAUGGGGAAGCUGGGGCUGAGAGAAGGCAGGAGGCUUGCCCAAGAUCCCAGGAUGAAUUAGCCAAAGAGCAGAGACUAGAGUCUCUAGAUGCCCUGUCCUGUUUGCUCCCUACCACAGCCUGGUGUCCUGGCCGCAGUGUUCACCCAUGGGACCUUUCUCCCCCUGCACGGGGAAGGGCCCUGGGGUCAGUGCCCGUACUCUUCACGGUGCCCACAGAGUCCCACGGAAGUCAGGCCUUUCUCCCUCCUUCCUCUGCCUCUGCCCUCCCUGCCCUGCCAGCACCAUGUGCCCUGGACCCUCUGAGGUUCUGCUGUCCGGCCUGGCCCGGCUCUCCGUGUAGCUCAUAUUCAGCACCGUAACCCCCGCAGCUCUUGACGAGUGUUGUGUUGUCACUGACUCAUAAAUGUGGUUACACGCUUCUA